rnacentral:rRNA from 1 species
AUGGAGACCAAGAGAGCAAGGGCUCUCUACAAUGUGGCCACUGAGCUGAUUUUCCUUUUAGACCUGGCACAAGAGGAGAGUCAGUUAACUGAUGAAGAAAACACUCUUAGAAAGAUGCUCAAGCUAAAGCUUCUGGGGUUUGCUGCUGUGGAAAGAAUGCGGUGGCGCCAGCGCUCACGGUUAACAAGGAUCCGUGUUGGAAACGCCAAUACUAAGCUCUUUCAUCUACGGGCAAAUGGGAGGAGGAGGAAGAAUCACAUACCUACCCUUCAGGGGCCUUCCGGCAUGGUCCACGAGCACACUGAGAAGGCCAAAAUUCUGCUUGAUCACUUCAAGUCGCUAAUGGGGAAGGCACAACAUCGCAGCCACGCAAUAAACGGAACUUUUUGGAAAUGCCCAUACUCAACCUCCAGCACCUUGAGGGCAGCUUCACUAUGGAUGAGCUUAAAACUGCAGUUUUUGAGAUGCACGCCGAAAAAGCUCCAGGUCCUGAUGGUUUUAUUGGUGGCUUCUUCAAAAAAUGUUGGAGCAUAA